rnacentral:rRNA from 1 species
AUUGCCCCAGUAACGGCGAGUGAAGCGGCAACAGCUCAAAUUUGAAAUCCGGCCCCCGGGGCCCGAGUUGUAAUUUGCAGAGGAUGCUUCGGGCGAGGCGCCUUCCGAGUUCCCUGGAACGGGACGCCACAGAGGGUGAGAGCCCCGUCUGGUCGGACGCCGAGCCCGCGUGAAGCUCCUUCGACGAGUCGAGUAGUUUGGGAAUGCUGCUCAAAACGGGAGGUAUAUGUCUUCUAAAGCUAAAUACCGGCCAGAGACCGAUAGCGCACAAGUAGAGUGAUCGAAAGAUGAAAAGCACUUUGAAAAGAGGGUUAAAAAGUACGUGAAAUUGUUGAAAGGGAAGCGCCCGCGACCAGACUUGGGCCCGGCGGAUCACCCGGCGUUCUCGCCGGCGCACUCCGCCGGGCACAGGCCAGCAUCGGUCCGGCGCGGGGGACAAAGGCUCUGGGAACGUGGCUCCCCCGGGAGUGUUAUAGCCCACCGCGCAAUGCCCUGCGCCGGACCGAGGAACGCGCACCGCAAGGAUGCUGGCGUAAUGGUCGUCGGCGACCCGUCUUGAAACACGGACCAAGGAGUCGUCUUCGUAUGCGAGUGUUCGGGUGUCAAACCCCUACGCGGAAUGAAAGUGAACGCAGGUGAGAGCCUCGGCGCAUCAUCGACCGAUCCUGAUGUCCUCGGAUGGAUUUGAGUAGGAGCAUACGGGGCCGGACCCGAAAGAAAGUGAACUAUGCCUGCGUAGGGUGAAGCCAGAGAAAACUCUGGUGGAGGCUCGCAGCGGUUCUGACGUGCGAAUCGAUCGUCAAACGUGGGCAUGGGGGCGAAAGACUAAUCGAACCUUCUAGUAGCUGGUUUCCGCCGAAGUUUCCCUCAGGAUAGCAGUGUUGGGCUCAGUUUUAUGAGGUAAAGCGAAUGAUUAGGGACUCGGGGGCGCUAUAUUGCCUUCAUCCAUUCUCAAACUUUAAAUAUGUAAGAAGCCCUUGUUUCUUUGCUGAACGCGGGCAUUCGAAUGUAUCAACACUAGUGGGCCAUUUUUGGUAAGCAGAACUGGCGAUGCGGGAUGAACCGAACGCGAGGUUAAGGUGCCGGAGUGGACGCUCAUCAGACACCACAAAAGGUGUUAGUACAUCUUGACAGCAGGACGGUGGCCAUGGAAGUCGGAACCCGCUAAGGACUGUGUAACAACUCACCUGCCGAAUGUACUAGCCCUGAAAAUGGAUGGCGCUCAAGCGUCCCACCCAUACCUCGCCCUCGGGGUAGAAACGAUGCCCCGAGGAGUAGGCGGACGUGGAGGUUCAGUGACGAAGCCCAGGCGCAGCCCGUCACC